GACGAACGCUGGCGGCGUGCCUAAUACAUGCAAGUCGAGCGCAGGAAACUGACGGAACUCUUCGGAGGGAAGGCGGUGGAAUGAGCGGCGGACGGGUGAGUAACACGUAAGGAACCUGCCUCAAGGAUUGGGAUAACUCCGAGAAAUCGGAGCUAAUACCGGAUAGUUCAUCGGACCGCAUGGUCCGUUGAUGAAAGGCGCUUCGGCGUCACCUUGAGAUGGCCUUGCGGUGCAUUAGCUAGUUGGUGGGGUAAUGGCCCACCAAGGCGACGAUGCAUAGCCGACCUGGGAGGGUGAUCGGCCACACUGGGACUGAGACACGGCCCAGACUCCUACGGGAGGCAGCAGUAGGGAAUCUUCCACAAUGGACGAAAGUCUGAUGGAGCAACGCCGCGUGAGUGAUGAAGGUUUUCGGAUCGUAAAACUCUGUUGUAAGGGAAGAACACGUACGAGAGGGAAUGCUCGUACCUUGACGGUACCUUACGAGAAAGCCACGGCUAACUACGUGCCAGCCGCCGCGGUAACAC
rnacentral:rRNA from 1 species